AACGAACGCUGGCGGCAUGCCUAACACAUGCAAGUCGAACGAGACCUUCGGGUCUAGUGGCGCACGGGUGCGUAACGCGUGGGAACCUGCCCUUAGGUUCGGAAUAACUCCCCGAAAGGGGUGCUAAUACCGGAUAAUGUCUUCGGACCAAAGAUUUAUCGCCUUUGGAUGGGCCCGCGUUGGAUUAGCUAGUUGGUAGGGUAAAAGCCUACCAAGGCGACGAUCCAUAGAUGGUCUGAGAGGAUGAUCAGCCACACUGGGACUGAGACACGGCCCAGACUCCUACGGGAGGCAGCAGAGGGGAAUAUUGGACUAUGGGCGAAAGCCUGAUCCAGCAAUGCCGCGUGAGUGAUGAAGGCCUUAGGGUUGUAAAGCUCUUUUACCCGGGAUGAUAAUGACAGUACCGGGAGAAUAAGCUCCGGCUAACUCCGUG
rnacentral:rRNA from 1 species